CUAGAUUCGAGACCCAGAAGCUGGGUCAACCUUGCCUUUCUUCAUUGAGAAGCCUCUUCUCGGCUUCCGAGGGGAGCUGCUUUCUGCAAUGUCUGGCAUCCACACGGUCAAAGAAUGAUAAGAAAAUUGGCAGCAGAGAGCAAUCACUGUGCCUUCCGGGUGUGCAUGGGGAAACCUAUUCAAAAGACCAAAGCUCUUCCCAGUUUCGUCCCCAAUUCCCCAGAAGCAGUUCUGGAAUUCUCCUUUCCCUAACAUCAUUCCAACCUGUGCUAGCCACCUGCAAGAUGAGAUGCCAAUGGGAGAAAAACAAGGUUCUUCAUUCAGUAGCCAGCCUCCUGCCAAAUGUGAACGAGACUGACAGGAAUCAGCCAGCCCUGAAGACUCAUCUACUUACUGCACAGCCAGCAGCUGAUUAUAACAAUGUGACUCACUGUAGCAGAGAAGUAGAAGAACCACCCGACUGAGCCCAACCCAGUUUACUGACCCUUACAACUCUGAACUAAAUAAAAAGUUAUGAUUUGAUGCCACUAUGUACUGAGGCAAUUUUCUGGGCAGCAAAAUCUAACUGAUGGGAGAACUUGUUUUUGACCUAUUCCUUUUUUAUCUAAUUUGCCUAGUUAGAUAGGAAGAUCUUUCAAUGCAGUUGUGUGUCUAAAGGAACUUGUUUUAUUAUUUGAAUAUGAAGUCGUUUAACUUUUUACAUUCUGUGACUCAGACAGGGAUGGAUUUUGUUGUUGGUGUUUUGCCACAUUCCCCUUUCAGGACCAUAUCUGGUUACAAAAGGCUUGUAGUUUUUAAAGCCCAGAGCAAAAGAACUCUAAAAAGGAAACUCUUGAAAUUUCCAAACCCUUGAGUAGAUAUUGUGACACCUGUUUUUUUGUUUUGUUUUGUUUUUUGUUUUUUGACAUCUUUUAAUCUAGGUAGGCUUCUAGAUAGGCCAAAGCGGCAAGGGAAGGAAAUACGCUUUUUAGCUCACGGUGCCUCCCACAGUGCUCACAGAAGUGACUUCUCCGGAAAUUGUUACAAGGUUAAAGUAAGAAGUAGCUAUGUGUUGCUCAUAGACCCAGAACUCUUCUAAACGUUUUCAGUUUUGGAGAACAGUGAAAGGGGGCGCUUUAGUCUAUUUUCCCUGUGCCAACGUGGUAAGCUGAGAGUCCUCUUUUAAGGAAGUGACAAUAAUGGGCAGGAGGGCCGGGCGGGCGGUGUGUGUGUGUGUGGUUUAGCUCAGUGGCGCCGCCCCCUGCCUCAUAAGCGCAAGGUCCAGCGUUCAAUCCCCAGUAAAACAAAACAGAACAAAACAAAACAAAUCACUAAACAAUAAUGGGCAGGAGAGCCUCAAUUAGUUAAUUAAAUUUGUAGUAGCAAUAAUUUGGGAAUUCUGGAAAACACUUUCCAAGUAAGAUGUACAAAAGUUACUGUGAAUGCCAGGAAAAUUUGUUUUAGGGACAAAAUGCUUUCAGUAAAAAACAAAAAACAAAACACACAAAAAACUGCUGUUUUUAAAUACCUGACAUGCAGAAAAAUGAAUUCCAUCCUAACCACAGGUUUGCAAAUAGCCGACCGCUUUCCAAAGGUUCUGUACGUUGUAAUCAUGGUGUCGACUUAUUACAGCCU
rnacentral:lncRNA from 1 species